AAAAAAUGAUUCUAUUAAUAUAUAAAGAUAACUUUUCUUAUAAAUACGUCUGAUUUAAGAUGUUGACCUUUUAAGAUACAAAAAAGUAUUCAUAGAAGUAUCAUUACCCAAAUCAAUAUAUACAUACAUAGAUAUUUAAUUUAAAUACGACUAUUAAAUUUAGUCUAACAAUUCGACAUGCUAUAAUAGGCUAACUGUUGUUGAUGAUUAAUUGCAAGUAAUUAAGCCAGGUGAUAGACAGUAUAUAAAUACGAUAAAGUGAAAUGUAUUAAACGUAAUGAAUAAACAAAUACAAUAUCGAAAAAGAUAGCAGGUAGUCCGUUUUUGCCUACACCAAGAGGCACUUGGCACACCGGAAAUUUUAAAACAUUAAAAAGACCCCAAUAACCAAAAUUAAAUGGUCUUAAGUAAGCUGUAUAAUGAUAACCAGUUUGAAAAGGUGAAGAUGGAUAAAUUAGUAUCCCAUUAUGCUCCAAUUUAUCCUAAAAAUAAAAGUAUAAUUGCA